rnacentral:rRNA from 1 species
UACGAACCGUGCGAACGUUGUUCGGAAUCACUGGGCUUAAAGGGCGCGUAGGCGGGUGUGCAAGUCUGUGGUGAAAGCCUCCAGCUUAACUGGAGAAGUGCCAUGGAUACUGCACAUCUUGAGGAGGGUAGGGGCAUCUGGAACGGUCGGUGGAGCGGUGAAAUGCGUUGAUAUCGACCGGAACUCCGGUGGCGAAGGCGAGGUGCUGGACCCUUUCUGACGCUGAGGCGCGAAAGCCAGGGGAGCAAACGGG